rnacentral:rRNA from 1 species
GACGAACGCUGGCGGCGUGCUUAACACAUGCAAGUCGAACGGAAAGGCCCUGCUUUUGUGGGGUGCUCGAGUGGCGAACGGGUGAGUAACACGUGAGUAACCUGCCCUUGACUUUGGGAUAACUUCAGGAAACUGGGGCUAAUACCGGAUAGGAGCUCCUGCUGCAUGGUGGGGGUUGGAAAGUUUCGGCGGUUGGGGAUGGACUCGCGGCUUAUCAGCUUGUUGGUGGGGUAGUGGCUUACCAAGGCUUUGACGGGUAGCCGGCCUGGGAGGGUGACCGGCCACAUUGGGACUGAGAUACGGCCCAGAGUCCUACAGGGGGCAGCAGUGGGGAAUAUUGCACAAUGGGCGGAAGCCUGAUGCAGCAACGCCGCGUGCGGGAUGACGGCCUUCGGGUUGUAAACCGCUUUCGCCUGUGACGAAGCGUGAGUGACGGUAAUGGGUAAAGAAGCACCGGCUAACUACGUG